rnacentral:rRNA from 1 species
UACGAAGGGGGCUAGCGUUGCUCGGAAUCACUGGGCGUAAAGCGCACGUAGGCGGAUCUUUAAGUCAGGGGUGAAAUCCUGGAGCUCAACUCCAGAACUGCCUUUGAUACUGGGGAUCUCGAGUCCGGAAGAGGUAAGUGGAACUCCGAGUGUAGAGGUGAAAUUCGUAGAUAUUCGGAAGAACACCAGUGGCGAAGGCGGCUUACUGGUCCGGUACUGACGCUGAGGAGCGAAAGCGUGGGGGAGCAAACAGG